UACGUAGGGGGCAAGCGUUGUCCGGAUUUAUUGGGCGUAAAGAGCUCGUAGGCGGUUGGGCAAGUCACGUGUGAAAUCUCCACGCUCAACGUGGAGGCGCCACGUGAGACUGCCCUGACUCGAGUCCGGUAGGGGAGCGUGGAAUUCCCGGUGUAGCGGUGAAAUGCGCAGAGAUCGGAAAGAACACCAACGGCGAAAGCACUCUGCUGGGCCGACACUGACACUGAGAGACGAAAGCUAGGGGAGCGAAUGGG
rnacentral:rRNA from 1 species